rnacentral:rRNA from 1 species
AUUGAACGCUGGCGGCAGGCCUAACACAUGCAAGUCGAACGAGGGGCGGAUGGGUGAGUAAUGCCUGGGAAUUGACACGUAGAGGGGGAUAACAGAUGGCAACGACUGCUAAGACCGCAUACGAUUGGAUUGCUCGGGGGGGAUUGGCUAGUCGGUGAGUUAAUGGCUCACCAAGGCAACGAUCCCUAGCCGGUCUGAGAGGAUGAUCGGUCACACUGGAACUGAGACACGGUCCAGACUCCUACGGGAGGCAGCAGUGGGGAAUCUUCCACAAUGGGCGAAAGCCUGAUGCAGCCAUGCCGCGUGUGUGAAGAAGGCCUUCGGGUCGUAAAGCACUUUUAUCGGGGAGGCGUUACUCACCGAAGAAGCCCCGGCUAACUCCGUGCCAGCAGCCGCGGUAAUUC